UACGUGGCAAACGGCUCAGUAACACGUAGUCAACAUGCCCAGGGGACGUGGAUAACCUCGGGAAACUGAGGAUAAACCGCGAUAGGCCAUGAUUUCUGGAAUGGUUCAUGGCCGAAAUCUAUAUGGCCCCUGGAUUGGACUGCGGCCGAUCAGGCUGUUGGUGAGGUAAUGGCCCGCCAAACCUGUAACCGGUACGGGCUCUGAGAGGAGGAGCCCGGAGAUGGGCACUGAGACAAGGGCCCAGGCCCUAUGGGGCGCAGCAGGCGCGAAAUCUCUGCAAUAGGCGAAAGCUUGACAGGGUUACUCUGAGUGAUUCCCGCUAAGGGGAUCUUUUGGCACCUUUAAAAAUGGUGCAGAAUAAGGGGUGGGCAAGUCUGGUGUCAGCCGCCGCGGUAAUACCAGCACCCCGAGUGGUCGGGACGAUUAUUGGGCCUAAAGCAUCCGUAGCCGGUACUGCAAGUCUUCCGUUAAAUCCACCUGCUUAACAGUUGGGCUGCGGGGGAUACUACAGCGCUAGGAGGCGGGAGAGGCAAGCGGUACUCAAUGGGUAGGGGUAAAAUCCGCUGAUCCAUUGAAGACCACCAGUGGCGAAGGCGGCUUGCCAGAACGCGCUCGACGGUGAGGGAUGAAAGCUGGGGGAGCAAACCGGAUUAGAUACCCGGGUAGUCCCAGCUGUAAACGAUGCAGACUCGGUGAUGGGCUGGCCUUGUGCCAACCCAGUGCCGCAGGGAAGCCGUUAAGUCUGCCGCCUGGGGGAGUACGGUCGCAAGACUGAAACUUAAAGGAAUUGGCGGGGGAGCACCACAAGGGGUGAAGCCUGCGGUUCAAUUGGAGUCAACGCCGGA
rnacentral:rRNA from 1 species